rnacentral:tRNA from 1 species
GCCGACGUAGCUCAGUUGGUAGAGCGGUCCCCUUGUAAGGGAUAGGUCGCUGGUUCGAAUCCAGUCGUCGGCU